rnacentral:rRNA from 1 species
GAUGAACGCUGGCGGCGUGCCUAAUACAUGCAAGUAGAACGCUGAAGGAGGAGCUUGCUCUUCUGGAUGAGUUGCGAACGGGUGAGUAACGCGUAGGUAACCUGCCUGGUAGCGGGGGAUAACUAUUGGAACCGAUAGCUAAUACCGCAUGACAACAGUUAUUGCAUGAUAACUGUUUAAAAGGGGCAACUGCUCCACUACCAGAUGGACCUGCGUUGUAUUAGCUAGUUGGUGAGGUAACGGCUCACCAAGGCGACGAUACAUAGCCGACCUGAGAGGGUGAUCGGCCACACUGGGACUGGGACACGGCCCAGACUCCUACGGGAGGCAGCAGUAGGGAAUCUUCGGCAAUGGACGGAAGUCUGACCGAGCAACGCCGCGUGAGUGAAGAAGGUUGUCGGAUCGUAAAGCUCUGUUGUAAGAGAAGAACGAGUGUGAGAGUGGAAAGUUCACACUGUGACGGUAUCUUACCAGAAAGGGACGGCUAACUACGUG